CACUCAUUUCCUUAAUUUCUUUAACAUACCAAUCUUUUUCUCUUUUUCUCUUGAAAUACAUUUUUCAGGAAUAGCCUUUAAAUUGUUUCUCUAUAUAUGUUCAAUAUCAGUGAGUUUAAAACUUCAUAAUUUGCUUUAUCAUCUCUGAGACUCAGAGUAUAUGCAACGCUAAUUUUGUCACUUUGGUUGGUGUAAUGAAAAUGAAGUAUUUUUAAUACCAGUUCAUUACAAGAGGAUUGGUGUAUAACACCUGAUUAUGAUGCAGCUUAGGAAGUGUUGCUUGAGAAAAGCUUUGCUCUCAGCAGUUUUUUCCUCUUUGAACCUGCACAGAUUGCUCAGAGUUGAGCAGCAGAGGACCCAGUGCUGCUAAGGCUGGCUACAUCACCUCCUGAAGUCAGUUUAAAUGCAGACAGAUGUGUCCUACAGAUCACCAGCUGUGCAGAAGUAUUUGCUGUUCUGCCAAAUUCAACCACCCAGUACACCAUUGCAGGGAAUCUAACAGCCAGUACCAGAGCCAAUUUGAGUAUAAGCAAACAGAAGCUGAUUAUCUCAUUACUUCUGAAGAGGUUCCAGUUCUCCCUGCUGCACCCCAGUCUUGGCUUCCCUGA
rnacentral:lncRNA from 1 species